AUCACAAAGACUGCUGAACCAUGUCCCAAGACUGGAUCCCUACAGGCACAGUCAUGUCCAUGCUUCUUCCAGAGUAAAACAUUCCCUCAGGAAGAUACUGCUUUCAGAUGUGACCUCAUCUACGGAGUGUAAAGACGGAUCUCAGCAAGAUGGGUUCCGAACUUCUUGAUGAAAACAAGCAGCCCAUCAGUGAAAACCAGAGUGUUGAAAGUUUUCAGACAUCAACUGUGCCCCCAGCAGCUGAGAUGGGACAGAAAGAUGUUGAAGGCUUCACUUCCACAACAGACAAGAAAGAACCAGAGUGGCAGAAGGAGAAGAUUGCAAUAUUCCAUGAAUACAAACUUCUCAAGCA